rnacentral:rRNA from 1 species
GACGAACGCUGGCGGCGUGCCUAAUACAUGCAAGUUGAGCGCUAAGGGUUGGUACUUGUCCCAACUGGGUGAGCAGCGAACGGGUGAGUAACGCGUGUGGAAUCUGCCUUUGAGCGGGGGACAACAUUGGGAAACGAAUGCUAAUACCGCAUAAAAACUUUAAACACAGGUUUUAAGUUUGAAAGAUGCAAUUGCAUCACUCAAAGAUGAUCCCGCGUUGUAUUAGCUAGUUGGUGAGGUAAAGGCUCACCAAGGCGAUGAUACAUAGCCGAACUGAGAGGGUGAUCCGCCACAUUGGGACUGAGAAACGGCACAAACUCCUACGGGAGGCAGCAGGAGGGAAACUUCGGCAAUGGGCGGAAGACUGACCGAGAAACGCCGCGUGAGUGAAGAAGGGUUUCGGAUCGGAAAACUCUGUUGGUAGAGAAGAACGUUGGUGCGAGUGGAAAGCUCAUCAAGUGACGGUAACUACUCAGAAAGGGACGGCUAACUACGUG